rnacentral:rRNA from 1 species
UACAGAGGUCCCAAGCGUUGUUCGGAUUCACUGGGCGUAAAGGGUGCGUAGGCGGUCGGGUAAGUUUGAUGUGAAAUCUCCGGGCUUAACCCGGAAACCGCAUUGAAUACUAUUCGGCUUGAAGGUGGGAGAGGGUAGUGGAAUUCCCGGUGUAGUGGUGAAAUGCGUAGAUAUCGGGAGGAACACCAGUGGCGAAGGCGACUACCUGGCCCACUCUUGACGCUGAGGCGCGAAAGCUAGGGGAGCGAACGGG